GGCGCUGCGGAGGGAUCAUUGCUGGAACGCGCCCCAGGCGCACCCAGAAACCCUUUGUGAACUUAUACCUUACUGUUGCCUCGGCGCAUGCCGGCCCCCCCGGGGGCCCCUCGGAGACGAGGAGCAGGCACGCCGGCGGCCAAGUUAACUCUUGUUUUUACACUGAAACUCUGAGAAAAAAACACAAAUGAAUCAAAACUUUCAACAACGGAUCUCUUGGUUCUGGCAUCGAUGAAGAACGCAGCGAAAUGCGAUAAGUAAUGUGAAUUGCAGAAUUCAGUGAAUCAUCGAAUCUUUGAACGCACAUUGCGCCCUCUGGUAUUCCGGAGGGCAUGCCUGUUCGAGCGUCAUUUCAACCCUCAAGCAUUGCUUGGUGUUGGGGCACUGCUUCUUACCCAAGAAGCAGGCCCUGAAAUCUAGUGGCGAGCUCGCCAGGACCCCGAGCGCAGUAGUUAAACCCUCGCUUUGGAAGGCCCUGGCGGUGCCCUGCCGUUAAACCCCCAACUUUUGAAAAUUUGACCUCGGAUCAGGUAGGAAUACCCGCUGAACUUAAGCAUAUCAU
rnacentral:rRNA from 1 species